GCCCCGCGGCCAAGAGGGCGGGAGGGCGACAGCAGCGGCUAGGAGCGGUCCCCGAGGCCGGCCAGGGACCCAGCCUCCUCCGCCACUACCAACCCGCGUUCCCCACGCGCGCCGCCGCCAGUUGGCCCCGCGCGUUCUCCAGGUGGAGGCCAGGAGGCAGAGAACCGCGGGCCCGGGGGCCACCCGUCACUUUCAAGUCGCCCCGCCAGAAGCCCAGGGCGAGGAAAAGGAGAGAGACAAAAGAGCGCUGCGGGGGGAGUCCCCACACCCCCCGCGGCCCCGCACACGGCCCGGCUCUUACUCGUAGUGGCGGAAGAUCUCGUUGGUGACUUUACAGUAGAAAACUUCCUCGUCGGGCCGCAGGUCCGCGGGCGGCUUCUGUCUCACAAACGGCUUUCGGUGUAGCAGCGGCAUCUCCCGUCCGCCCGCGGGCUCGCCUGGACCCUCGGCCGCCCGCGCCGGCCCCGCUUCCCUAUCAAAAUUGGAGGGAAAGGAAAGCCGGUAAGGUGGGGAGCCCUCGGCGGCAGCGUGGGCCGGUCCGCGCGCUGGGAGAAGCUCGGCUGCCUUUUGUGUGACUGACGCGCCGCGGCCGCUACCGGAGCCGAGUUCGUUCCUGCCGCUGCCCGGGUGUCGAGCGAGCGGAGCCGCCGCCGCCCCUGCCCCCCGAGCGCGCCCUACCUCCUCUCGUCCUGCCGCCGCCUCACAAUGGGGCAGGACGCCCCGCCGCGGGGGGCAGUGCGGGAGCGGCGGCGGCCCCCUCCCCCAGCGCCGGCUCCUCGCCCGCCGCCGCCGCCAGGCUCACAACGUGCUCGGCGCGCAGCUGGCCGGCCGGCCAGCCCAACGCCGCCAGAGCGCUCGCCGCGGGCGGACCCCGGAGCUGCUCCGCUUUGUUCCCGGCUCGCCUCCACUUCCCCGCCGGCGCCGGCCGGCUCCCGAGCGACCCUCACCUGCGAUCACGCCGACUGCCACUUGUCCACCUUCUCCACUACAAAGGCAACGAGGGGAGACCCCGUCCUCCCAGGGGACCGCCUCUCUCCGGCCCCGCCGCGCCCCUGGCUGCCGCUUCUCCCGCUGCCACUGCCCGACUCCGCGCGGGGAAUUGCGUCCCACCGCCACUUCCCCGCCUCUCGGAGCUCCUGGGAAGUUUCUGAUCUACUUUCGGCUCUGAAGGAGGAAGAGCUGUUGGGAGGAGCUUUUCACUCCUCGCUUCUACCUUUUUAUUGGCUACUCGAUGACUUUUACAGCCUGUCACUGAUACAGGAAGAGACAGCGGAGAGCCUGGGAGAACUACAUUAUUAAUUAAUGGAGCAACCCCUCGUGAAGAUUCAGAAGCAUCCUCCAUGUUUGAGAUUAUCAGCCAAAAGAUCUAGGGAAAGCGCUGGGGGUUCAUAAACACAUGGCUAACAAAGUAAAGCCUUCAAGUCUGGCACAGACUCUUGACUACACGAUGGGAAAAGGGAUUCCAAUUACGAUUUAACUUGUAUUUUAAAGAUGAGAAAAGAAAUGAAUAAGAAAAUUUGUUGCUAUUUUUCUUCUUCCAAAUUAGAAUCUAUAUCUCUAAAAAUACUUUGCAUGUUUAGUAAACAUCCAUCUUGAACAGAAGAUACCUUGACAUCAGUUCUAUUUAAUACUUAUGGCAAUUAAGAGAUUUAGAAAGCAGAGGAAAAGACCAAAAAAAAAGUAUGUGUUACAAAGUGUCAUCAUGCUUGUAGGACCCCAGCAUUCUUGAAACUAACGCACCUUUAAAAAGUAAUAUUUACACUGCUGUAAAUAUUUGCAAAGUAUCAAUGUUUAAUUCACUUAGAAUUUUAAGGAUUAUGGAUUUACUAGCGAAAAUUCCCCUAAAGCAACUUUCCCAUAUCAGUAACUUUUAUUUAGGGAAACAAGUUUAAUGUACAUAAUACAUGUGACCUUGGAAUUCAAUAGAAUUUUCGAAACUAGAAGUAACUCAGAACGUUCACUAGAUGUGUUUUAAAGUCUUUUUUGAUACUGUCCUUAACAUUUGCUUAUUUGCAAAUUAAUAUGUAAGAAUGAGUCUAAAAGUAAGUUUUAGGAAUGGUUAUUCGACAAAGAUGUUAUUCCUAUUACCAAUACUGCGAAAUGAUAAUUACAGAAACAAUGUGGGAUCCGUUUUAUAACUUCAAAUUUAAGUUCCUUUGUACUUUGGAGCAGAAAAUGUAAGAAAUCGAAAUCAAGAGUUAGUAUUUUUUAUCUUUCAGGCUGGCUUUAACUGUUCAUACACCUAGCAAAAUAAACAUUUGUGAAAGGCGUUA
rnacentral:lncRNA from 1 species